rnacentral:rRNA from 1 species
UACAGAGGAGCCAAGCGUUGUCCGGAUUGACUGGGCGUAAAGCGCACGCAGGCGGCCGCGCGCGUGGGGUGUGAAAUCUGGCCGCUUAACGGCCAGGCGCCAUCCCAUACGGCGCGGCUGGAGCCAUGCAGAGGGCGGUGGAAUUCCCGGUGUAGCGGUGAAAUGCGCAGAUAUCGGGAAGAACACCCGUGGCUAAGGCGGCUCUCUAGUACGGUACUGACGCUGAGACGCGAAAGCGUGGGGAGCGAACAGG